AAUUCAGUUCAGCUAUUUUUGUGGUUUUCAACAGGUUUCAUUCAUCUGAAGCUGAGUUUGUAGGAAAUUUAGAAUAAUCUAGUUUAAGUCCAACCAGUCUGAAUAUUUUACAUUUUGAAUCAGAGAUGAUUUAAUGAAGUCUAGAUUCCUGAAAAUCAGUGAAAUUAUCCGUAAUCUCCUGCCUCAUUUUCACCUCAUCACUGCUGACUGUCUUUACCUCCCUGGUUUAAACGAAGCUGCAACACAAACAGCUGUUUUCAGUUUUAAUGUCACAGAUAAAGUCGUACGGACCGGACCUGAAACAGCUCCAGCAGACAGACAUGAUAAAAGGCCCAAAACGUACCAGGAGGCGCGGCUGCAUCUGUUUUUCUGAAGAGCAAACCCCAACCUCAAUACUCCCUGAGAUGAUUAAACCGAACUGGAACUGAAAAUAGGAAGGUAAUCUGUAUAAAGCAGAUAAUCAUGCAGCGGGCUGCAGCGGGUUCUGAUCCAGCUUCAGGUCUGUCAGCCAAUGAGGCAGGGAGAAAUAACCGCGCCCCUCUGAGGCACGACAACCUUAAAACAACCUGCGGAUCAUUUGUGUUCCAGAUGAGGCUCCGCUGAGGAUCGUACCAGGCAAAAGAUGACCUGCCAGUUCUUCCCUGACAGCCCGUCACACAAUCGGGAAUGAUUUACUGAAGCAUGGGCGCCGAUAUCUGGAAGAAUUUAUCCCAAAACAGGAACACAGCUGCAGUGCUGCUUUUAAAGAGUAGGGAGACAUUCCUGCAGAUAAAACCUCUGACGGACAAAAACCUUCAGCUCAUUGGAAACAGCUUUAUUUCCACCUGCUCUUCAUUACCUGUCCUGUGGCUCCGAAGCAAAGAAAACCCGGCGGCACAAAUCAGAGUUAAGGUCGGUUAGCAACCCAAAACCACAGAGGGAGAGGAAUGAAACCAGCACCAAGCAAACACACCAAUAAAGUCAUAAAUUCACUUUAAACAACAACAAAAAACAUUUUUCACACUGAAUUAAUCUAGUUAACAUAAACUAAUUACUGCAAUUCAAGCUGCAACAAAUUCCAGAAACAAGUUGCUUAGGUCUUCAAGCAGAAUCCAUGACAGUCUGAGUGUGUGAGGACCAAAAAUGCUCAAAAGAUCUCAGAUUCAUGAGAAAAUCAUUAAAUUAAUUAAAAAUAAGGUUUAUCUAAUUAAGAUUGGAAGGGAUUUCCAAUCUUAAACCAAAAUAAAUCAAACUGACUGAAGGCUCUCUCAGGACAGCUUUCAUAGAGUUAUUUAAGAUACGCGUUUCUAUUCCAGGUCGUUAAAUGCAAGUCUGGACUAUUGGAAGCAGAGCAGAGUGAAGAAGGCUCAGAGGAGUAUUGCUUAAACGUCUCACACACACAAGUGUUGGGAAAUCCUGGGAGGAUUCUGCAACGAUGCCAUUUUAACGUGCCACACAAUAAAAACAUUUACUGGAGUUCUGCUCUCCAAGCUUUUUGCCAGCAAACAGAAGAAUUUCUGUCUGGAGCUGGAUCUUACAGAACCAAAACAUGUGAAGGUUCUUCAGGUAGGAGUAGGAGUUGUUUGAUUCUGGAGCAAAACCAACAAAGAUCCGAGACACGAUAAACUUUACAUUCAACAUUCUGACUCAGUCAUCAGGCACAAUCCUGCAAAACCUUUAUAUGAUAAACCAACACAAGGUAGUUCAUCAGGGUGAAACAAAAGGAAAGGUGCUUAGUUAGCAACCAUUUUAACUGAUGAAAGAUCUUAAAAGUGUGGCAUGCUUUUGUAUUCAGCCCCAUUUCCUCCGACUACACCCUGAAAUAAAACAAGUAGAACCAAUUA